ensembl:lncRNA
UUUUAUAGUCUAUAUUUAUUCAGAUCUGUGCUAAAUGCGUAUUAGCCACAAUGUGUGUGUUAAUGUACUUCCUCUCAUUGCGUGGGUAUUUACCUGUACCGCAUAUAUUAAUGUCCCGCUUCUUUACAUAAACAAAUUAAUGAAAAAGGGAACUGAUAACUGUUGUGUUGAUGGUUACCUAAGCGACAAAAAAAUAUAUAGAAUUACAGAAAUACAGAAUAUUGCAACUCAAGAACAGGUAAAGCUUGAUUUUGGUGAGCUCCAACUUACAGCUAAAGAACACGAAAGUACUUUUGACGAAUGAAAAAAGAGAAUUAACCACAAAAGAAAUUACGUUGGAUUAUUAGUUUCAUAGUCUCGUUUUCAAUGCUGGAUUAUAAAUCUUCUGUAAGGCUACAAUGGUGACAGGUUGGAGGCCAUUUAACUGCUCGGCGGCCCUCGGAAAGGAUGACAAACAGGCCAGCGUCCUCCCAGACAGCAGCAUGUUUUCCGGCUCCGUCAACGGGAGUCGACGGUCAUCCCGGCCGCGAGGAUUUCCCAGCACUGGCCAAUUACUGUAGCUGCCGGUCUGCAUGCAAGUGUGUGUCGGGGAGUGUGUGUGGGUGGGCGCGUGUUCUUUGCGUGCAGUCAGGGGGUAAAGGGUGAUAAAGACACUUAUCGGAGAAUGUAAAUGUGUGUAAGUAAUAGUGUGCGCCGAGUUAGAACAGGCAACAUUCUCUGUAAUUGUUCAUACUGAUGUUUGAGCUUUAGUCACACAUUUCUAACCCUGACAUGCAGUUCUAGGUCACUGAGUGAAGAAAGCUCAUAUUCCUUCAUUUGUCAAGAUCGCUUGCAAACCCUAAAUAAACAUUACAGCAGACUAACAUUGUCUCACAAUCUGAGGCUUAAUAUUCUUAUAAUCACAUGAUAAGGAGAGGAAUAUCACAUAUCACAUAUUUGCCUCAAAGGGCUUUACAAGUACAGCAUACGACACCCUCUCUCCCUGGACCCUUGCAUUAGACACAAAAAUCUGUUUUGGGGGGGUUUUCAUCUACCAGGAGACAUAAUAAAGUAAAACAUAAUAAGUUUGAAAGUACUGUCUACUUUGCUUAAUAAAAUCAUAAAUAUGAACAAUGUCAAUAGCAGCACUUGACAGCGCAAUCCGACAAAUCCUCAUAUCAUUCAACUCAAUACAUUUUAUUUUGUAGAGCCCAAAAUCUAAUAGAAGCCCAGACUUCCAGUUGCCUUUUACAUUACAG